CUUUAUUAACUCUUCCAAGGCCACUACAUACGCAUCUUGGGCUAAGGCGUCAAACUCUGGAGAUUCUCUCCAAGCCUCCACAGCUCUGAUACCUUUGGCCUCAGCCUCUUCAGUUCUCUUCAUUGCGUCCUUUGACCUCGCAUGAGCUUCCUUCAUCUUCUUGAUAGCCUCUAACGUAUGAGAACGCUCCUCGAAAACCUGGGCCCUCAGC
rnacentral:lncRNA from 1 species